rnacentral:rRNA from 1 species
GACGAACGCUGGCGGCGUGCCUAAUACAUGCAAGUAGAACGCUGAAGGAGGAGCUUGCUUCUCCGGAUGAGUUGCGAACGGGUGAGUAACGCGUAGGUAACCUGCCUGGUAGCGGGGGAUAACUAUUGGAAACGAUAGCUAAUACCGCAUAACAGUAGAUAUUGCAUGAUAUCUGCUUGAAAGGUGCAAAUGCAUCACUACCAGAUGGACCUGCGUUGUAUUAGCUAGUUGGUGAGGUAACGGCUUACCAAGGCGACGAUACAUAGCCGACCUGAGAGGGUGAUCGGCCACACUGGGACUGAGACACGGCCCAGACUCCUACGGGAGGCAGCAGUAGGGAAUCUUCGGCAAUGGACGGAAGUCUGACCGAGCAACGCCGCGUGAGUGAAGAAGGUUUUCGGAUCGUAAAGCUCUGUUGUAAGAGAAGAACGAGUGUGAGAGUGGAAAGUUCACACUGUGACGGUAUCUUACCAGAAAGGGACGGCUAACUACGUGCCAGCAGCCGCGGUAAUACGUAGGUCCCGAGCGUUGUCCGGAUUUAUUGGGCGUAAAGCGAGCGCAGGCGGUUAGAUAAGUCUGAAGUUAAAGGCUGUGGCUUAACCAUAGUACGCUUUGGAAACUGUUUAACUUGAGUGCAAGAGGGGAGAGUGGAAUUCCAUGUGUAGCGGUGAAAUGCGUAGAUAUAUGGAGGAACACCGGUGGCGAAAGCGGCUCUCUGGCUUGUAACUGACGCUGAGGCUCGAAAGCGUGGGGAGCAAACAGG